rnacentral:rRNA from 1 species
UACGUAGGUGGCAAGCGUUGUCCGGAAUUAUUGGGCGUAAAGGGCUCGUAGGCGGUCUGUUGCGUCGGGAGUGAAAACUUACAGCUUAACUGUGAGCGUGCUUUCGAUACGGGCAGACUUGAGGCAUUCAGGGGAGAACGGAAUUCCUGGUGUAGCGGUGAAAUGCGCAGAUAUCAGGAGGAACACCGGUGGCGAAGGCGGUUCUCUGGGAAUGUCCUGACGCUGAGGAGCGAAAGUGUGGGGAGCGAACAGG